rnacentral:lncRNA from 1 species
CUCCCCUGAUUCAUAUUAUUCCCUUUGCCUGACACCACAAUUGUUUUUUUAAUGUCAAAAUACAGAUAAAUGUUAUGUGGUUGGACUUUGUGACUUACCUGCAUCACCAUGGUCAUGAAGAUAAGCUCCCUUGGUACCGUGGGAAGGUAGUCUUUGGCCUUUGUAGACAACACCAUGUUAUCUCUCUCUCUCUCUCUCUUUAAGGUUGUCUAAACUCUCAUGUCUCUCUCGGAAACAGGAAUGGAGUUACUUGAGAGGAGGACUUACAACAUUGGACCGUGACUACGGAUUGAUCAACAACAUCCAUCACGACAUUGGAACUCAUGUGAUACAUCAUCUUUUCCCUCAGAUCCCACAUUAUCAUCUAGUAGAAGCAGUAAGUAGUUGAAACGAAAGUUUGAUUUUUGGUGUGUUCAUGCUACUACAGAAGCUUAGAACUUAUCUCUGUGUGUCUCUUGGUUGCUUGUUUCUCCUUUGCAGACAGAAGCAGCUAAACCAGUAUUAGGGAAGUAUUAUAGGGAGCCUGAUAAGUCUGGACCUUUGCCAUUGCAUUUACUGGGAAUCUUAGCAAAAAGUAUUAAAGAAGAUCAUUUUGUGAGCGAUGAAGGAGAUGUUGUAUACUAUGAAGCAGACCCUAAUCUCUAUGGACAGAUCAAGGUAACAUCAGAAUGAAAUGAAGCAUGCAAAGAGAGAAAGAGAGAGAAGCUGUCAGAUUUAUCUAUUUCUGACCAGCUGAUUUUUUUUGCUUAUUAAUGUCAAUUCAUUGUGUUACCAUUAUCUCUGAAUACAAUCAGAUGGAAACCCCAACUUUGUUUUCAAUACUUGAAGCAUAUAUAUAAGAUACAUUGUACUGUCAUUAGAUUCUCAAGGUUUUUUAUACAUAUUUUGUAUUUGAGUGAUUACACCAAACAUUAUUCAGUUUGGUUGGUUUUGUAUUUUAAGGUAAGUUUCAAUUAUAAUUUCAUUCAUGCGGUGAACAUGUAACUACUGUCAUAGACUAUUUCUACACGGAAAAAAAUCGGAUAUCCGAUUUUUUAAACCGAUUUGGCAUAAAUCGGGGCGGAAAAGUGAUGCGUAACGCCUAGGCGGCUAGGCGGCCGAGUUUUAGAACAGGGGUAUGAGAAAUUAUACUAUAACACCUCGUGGUUGAUGUGGUCACUAGUUCCAUAAACAGUGAAGGUGUUGUGGUUUUGUUUGAAAUUAUACUGUGUCACACGUAUCUGGAAAACAAAUUAUUUUCCAGCAAGUUCCGCAAAGCAUAGUUGGAAUUCCUCACAGAGACCACCAUUCAUCUGCAGCGGGUGUAAGAAUUAAUAGCUGCAAAAUGGUUAUUACAGUGCUAUACUUUAAACUAAGUUUGUGUGAAUCAAAAAACAAACCUGAUUUAGAGUCAGAGCAGCUGAUUUAUUUUUUUGUGAGUUUAAGCAUUUCUCUGUCGAAGACCACAAAAGUGGCAUUGUUUAAUGUUCAUUAAUAAUCUUGAUAAAACUAUUUAGAAUAUUAUUGCUUUUCCUUGGAAUGUUCCUUGUGAGACGCAAGUUGAUUAUGUAAAAAUCUCAAAUAAAGAGAAGUGAAACUGAAACUAUGUCCUUCAUACCAUUUCAUUACAAACCAUUUCAAGCAAAAACAGUAUUAGAAAAAUCUUAGUAUAACAUAAGAUUCAAUCCUUCUUCACAUCUACUGCUUCGUCUUUUUCUCUGUUGCCUUCUUCCAUAAUGUUUUUCGUUUCUUUUGUCUCUUCCAUAGUUUCACCCUCUAGAUCAUUAUCUUCUUCUGCAACAGCAGGAAAACAACUCAUCACUACUACCAAAAUAAAACCAUCAACUACACUUAACUGCUUUAAACAACACCAAGUCAAUAUCCUUCCUAUGCAUGGUCCAAAACCUUACCUUAACAUGCAUCUUCUGCAUUUUGUUUCAAGCAUGCUUAAUAUAACGUUAACCCACUUUAACUAUUAAAUUAUAGAAAUUAUUCCCCUCUUAUGAGGUACGUAGUCGUAAAUGGAUUUUUCAAAAACUUGGAAACGGGGAAAAUAUUGCAAAAUCCGAAAUAAGAAAUGCAUAGUAAUUUAAAGAAUUGCAAAGAGACCGAAGCAGAGUUGGGUUGACGGUUUCACAGUUUUGUAACUUCACUCACGGGGGUUCUUACGACUACCCUCUUUUCCCUUAACACCGGAUGGAUUUGGGUCAUCGCCUUGACCUUCAACCUCGUUGCUGGAAGCUUCCAACUCCCAAGCUGAAUACAAAAUAAGGAAGUUCGUCAAAAAUAGUUCACAAUCAGUGCUGCAUCACAGAACCAGAUUAAACUAUCGUGUAGCUCGCUUACUGACACACAAAUUCUGCAUCAAAUAUUACCCAUCACGAUAUAGAAACCAAAUCGUAAGCGAGUUGUUUUAUUAAAUUAACAUCCAGCAACUAAAGGAUUCCAUCAGCACAUCAAAGGCUUCAGCUUUUUAAUACAUGACUUAAAAUUUCAAGGAAUCAUGUUCAUAUACUUUUUCUUAAUCAUGCAACCCCACAAUGAAUUGUAACUUUUUUUUUUGCUAAGACAAUUAUAACAAUUGACAAACGACCGAGCAGCUUUUUUAUUUCUUUGGUUCAUGUACAGAUCAGACCAAGCGGAUUUCAUCAAAUCAAAACACCAUCACAAAACAAUCACUACACAUAAGCGUUUUCUUUUUUUUCAGUCACUGAUUCAAACGUGUAUUCAAUGGGACAAAACUAUAUUAAUCAAAAAACUAAAAGCAAAAUAGAAGGUUAAAUAGCUAGUAGUUAGUUUUGUAAUUGUCAAAACAAAAAAAAAAAUUAACUUUUUUUUUGGUUUCAGUGGACAUGGAAGCUUCUCAAAUGACCCGAGGUUGAACAGUGUGGUGGGUCACCUUCUUCAUUCCUCUAUUCUAGUCCCUUACCAUGGCUGGUUAGUUUUGCUUUUCUCUCAGAAACUACUUGCAGAGUCUUUUGUCUUCUUCUUCUUCUUCAUGUUAUAAAGUAUGUGACUUUGAUUUGACCUGCAGGAGAAUUAGCCACAGAACUCACCACCAGAACCAUGGACAUGUUGAGAACGACGAAUCUUGGCAUCCUGUAAGUUAUUAACACAGGUCAUGUGGUGUUUCUUUUAUUUAUACACUGUUUCUGUAACUGCAGAUGUCUGAGAAAAUCUACGAGAGUUUGGACAAACCGAUUCGGUUCUUUAGAUUCACACUGCCUCUCGUCAUGCUCGCUUACCCUUUCUACUUGGUAAAGAAAAACUCAUCUGUUGUUAACUUAAACUGACACAUCAAGUGCAAAAACAAGGCUCAUGUUUUCUUCAUCUUAUGUUUCAGUGGGCAAGAAGUCCGGGGAAGAAGGGUUCUCAUUACCAUCCAGACAGCGACUUGUUCCUUCCUAAAGAGAGAAAUGAUGUUCUCACUUCUACCGCUUGUUGGACUGCAAUGGCUGCUCUGCUUGUCUGUCUCAACUUCGUGAUGGGUCCAAUGCAAAUGCUGAAACUUUAUGUGAUUCCUUACUGGGUAAUGCGUCUCUGUUACUCCCCUGAUUCAUAUUAUUCCCUUUGCCUGACACCACAAUUGUUUUUUUAAUGUCAAAAUACAGAUAAAUGUUAUGUGGUUGGACUUUGUGACUUACCUGCAUCACCAUGGUCAUGAAGAUAAGCUCCCUUGGUACCGUGGGAAGGUAGUCUUUGGCCUUUGUAGACAACACCAUGUUAUCUCUCUCUCUCUCUCUCUUUAAGGUUGUCUAAACUCUCAUGUCUC